rnacentral:lncRNA from 1 species
AAAUUAAUUUUUAAAUUUAUUAAUAAAAUUAUAAAUUAUAUAAAUUCUGUAAAAACAACAGUUAAUGUCAUCAUUAACAUCGUCCAUAUAUCAACAACAUAUAAAAAUUUCAAAACGAAAUGGAAUCAUUGAAUCAUUUCCUAAUUUUUGGCAAUUUUUGACUUAAUUUUUUUAAGCAAUUUAAAUGAAAUAUUAAAAAAACAAUGCAGGGGAAAGAAAUUUUACCUUAUUUUGUUUUUGCUGGAUUUUUCUUCAAGAAAAACGCUGCUCUCCGACCUUUCUAAUUUUUUUUCAUGCCUUUGUCUUUGCCUUUCUCUUCUUUUUCUCCUCCUUUCUCUUUGCCUUUCCUUCACUUA